ACGAACGCUGGCGGCGUGCCUAACACAUGCAAGUCGAACGGGGAUUUGUUCGGCAGAAUCCUAGUGGCGAACGGGUGAGUAACGCGUAGGCAACCUGCCCUCCGGCCGGGGACAACACUCCGAAAGGGGUGCUAAUACCGGAUACGAAGUCUGUGCCGCAUGGUACGGAUUUGAAAGAUGGCCUCUAUUUAUAAGCUAUCGCCGGGGGAUGGGCCUGCGUCCGAUUAGCUGGUUGGUGGGGUAACGGCCUACCAAGGCGACGAUCGGUAGCCGGUCUGAGAGGAUGAUCGGACACACUGGGACUGAGACACGGCCCAGACUCCUACGGGAGACAGCAGUUAGGAAUAUUCGUCAAUGGGGGAAACCCUGAACGAGCAAUGCCGCGUGAGUGAUGAAGGUCUUAUAGAUUGUAAAACUCUGUUGUAAAGAAAGAAACCUUGGGAUAGGAAAUGAUCUCAAGCUGACGGUACUUUACCAGAAAGCCCCGGCUAACUACGUGCCAGCAGCAGC
rnacentral:rRNA from 1 species